GCAUUGGUGGUUCAGGGGUAGAAUUCUCUCCUUCCAUGCAGGAGACCUGGGUUCGAUUCCUGGCCAAUGCA
rnacentral:tRNA from 1 species